rnacentral:rRNA from 1 species
UACUGACACGCUGUCCUUUCCCUAUUAACACUAAAGGACACUAUAAAGAGACCCUUUCGAUUUAAGGCUGUUUUGCUUGUCCAGCCUAUUCUUUUUACUGGCUUGGGUCUGUCGCGGUGCCUGAAGCUGUCCCCGAGCCACGCUUCCUGCUUUCCCGGGCUUGCUGCUUGCGUGUGCUUGCUGUGGGCAGCUUGUGACAACUGGGCGCUGUGACUUUGCUGCGUGUCAGACGUUUUUCCCGAUUUCCCCGAGGUGUCGUUGUCACACCUGUCCCGGUUGGAAUGGUGGAGCCAGCUGUGGUUGAGGGCCACCUUAUUUCGGCUCACUUUUUUUUUUUUUUUUUCUCUUGGAGUCCCGAACCUCCGCUCUUUUCUCUUCCCGGUCUUUCUUCCACAUGCCUCCCGAGUGCAUUUCUUUUUGUUUUUUUUCUUUUUUUUUUUUUUUUUUUGGGGAGGUGGAGAGUCCCGAGUACUUCACUCCUGUCUGUGGUGUCCAAGUGUUCAUGCCACGUGCCUCCCGAGUGCACUUUUUUUUGUGGCAGUCGCUCGUUGUGUUCUCUUGUUCUGUGUCUGCCCGUAUCAGUAACUGUCUUGCCCCGCGUGUAAGACAUUCCUAUCUCGCUUGUUUCUCCCGAUUGCGCGUCGUUGCUCACUCUUAGAUCGAUGUGGUGCUCCGGAGUUCUCUUCGGGCCAGGGCCAAGCCGCGCCAGGCGAGGGACGGACAUUCAUGGCGAAUGGCGGCCGCUCUUCUCGUUCUGCCAGCGGGCCCUCGUCUCUCCACCCCAUCCGUCUGCCGGUGGUGUGUGGAAGGCAGGGGUGCGGCUCUCCGGCCCGACGCUGCCCCGCGCGCACUUUUCUCAGUGGUUCGCGUGGUCCUUGUGGAUGUGUGAGGCGCCCGGUUGUGCCCUCACGUGUUUCACUUUGGUCGUGUCUCGCUUGACCAUGUUCCCAGAGUCGGUGGAUGUGGCCGGUGGCGUUGCAUACCCUUCCCGUCUGGUGUGUGCACGCGCUGUUUCUUGUAAGCGUCGAGGUGCUCCUGGAGCGUUCCAGGUUUGUCUCCUAGGUGCCUGCUUCUGAGCUGGUGGUGGCGCUCCCCAUUCCCUGGUGUGCCUCCGGUGCUCCGUCUGGCUGUGUGCCUUCCCGUUUGUGUCUGAGAAGCCCGUGAGAGGGGGGUCGAGGAGAGAAGGAGGGGCAAGACCCCCCUUCUUCGUCGGGUGAGGCGCCCACCCCGCGACUAGUACGCCUGUGCGUAGGGCUGGUGCUGAGCGGUCGCGGCUGGGGUUGGAAAGUUUCUCGAGAGACUCAUUGCUUUCCCGUGGGGAGCUUUGAGAGGCCUGGCUUUCGGGGGGGACCGGUUGCAGGGUCUCCCCUGUCCGCGGAUGCUCAGAAUGCCCUUGGAAGAGAACCUUCCUGUUGCCGCAGACCCCCCCGCGCGGUCGCCCGCGUGUUGGUCUUCUGGUUUCCCUGUGUGCUCGUCGCAUGCAUCCUCUCUCGGUGGCCGGGGCUCGUCGGGGUUUUGGGUCCGUCCCGCCCUCAGUGAGAAAGUUUCCUUCUCUAGCUAUCUUCCGGAAAGGGUGCGGGCUUCUUACGGUCUCGAGGGGUCUCUCCCGAAUGGUCCCCUGGAGGGCUCGCCCCCUGACCGCCUCCCGCGCGCGCAGCGUUUGCUCUCUCGUCUACCGCGGCCCGCGGCCUCCCCGCUCCGAGUUCGGGGAGGGAUCACGCGGGGCAGAGCCUGUCUGUCGUCCUGCCGUUGCUGCGGAGCAUGUGGCUCGGCUUGUGUGGUUGGUGGCUGGGGAGAGGGCUCCGUGCACACCCCCGCGUGCGCGUACUUUCCUCCCCUCCUGAGGGCCGCCGUGCGGACGGGGUGUGGGUAGGCGACGGUGGGCUCCCGGGUCCCCACCCGUCUUCCCGUGCCUCACCCGUGCCUUCCGUCGCGUGCGUCCCUCUCGCUCGCGUCCACGACUUUGGCCGCUCCCGCGACGGCGGCCUGCGCCGCGCGUGGUGCGUGCUGUGUGCUUCUCGGGCUGUGUGGUUGUGUCGCCUCGCCCCCCCCUUCCCGCGGCAGCGUUCCCACGGCUGGCGAAAUCGCGGGAGUCCUCCUUCCCCUCCUCGGGGUCGAGAGGGUCCGUGUCUGGCGUUGAUUGAUCUCGCUCUCGGGGACGGGACCGUUCUGUGGGAGAACGGCUGUUGGCCGCGUCCGGCGCGACGUCGGACGUGGGGACCCACUGCCGCUCGGGGGUCUUCGUCGGUAGGCAUCGGUGUGUCGGCAUCGGUCUCUCUCUCGUGUCGGUGUCGCCUCCUCGGGCUCCCGGGGGGCCGUCGUGUUUCGGGUCGGCUCGGCGCUGCAGGUGUGGUGGGACUGCUCAGGGGAGUGGUGCAGUGUGAUUCCCGCCGGUUUUGCCUCGCGUGCCCUGACCGGUCCGACGCCCGAGCGGUCUCUCGGUCCCUUGUGAGGACCCCCUUCCGGGAGGGGCCCGUUUCGGCCGCCCUUGCCGUCGUCG